rnacentral:ncRNA from 1 species
CAAAGGCUUGGUCCUAGCUUUGAUGUCAGCUCUAGCCAAACUUACACAUGCAAGUAUCCGCACCCCUGUGAGAAUGCCCACAGUUCCCUGCUUGGGAACAAGGAGCUGGUAUCAGGCCCAAAAUCUCCGCGCCCAUGACACCUUGCUUUGCCACACCCCCAAGGGGCUCCAGCAGUGAUAAACCUUAAGCAAUAAGUGAAAACUUGACUUAGCCACGGCUAACAGGGUCGGUAAAACUCGUGCCAGCCACCGCGGUUAUACGAGAGACCCAAGUUGACAAAUAACGGCGUAAAGCGUGGUUAAGGAAUAUACAAAAUAAAGUCGAACCCUGUCAAAGCUGUCAUACGCGUACGAGAGCAUGAAGCCCAAAUACGAAAGUAACUUUACUACCCCCGACGCCACGAAAGCCAAGAAACAAACUGGGAUUAGAUACCCCACUAUGCUUGGCCUUAAACAUUGAUUAAUACAUCACAAAACCAUCCGCCCGGGAAUUACGAGCGCGAGCUUAAAACCCAAAGGACUUGGCGGUGCUUAACUUCUACCUAGAGGAGCCUGUUCUAUAACCGAUAACCCUCGUUCAACCUCACCCUCCCUUGCUUUCUCCCGCCUAUAUACCACCGUCGUCAGCCUACCCUGUGAAGGCGCAACAGUACGCUCAACCAGCACAGCUCAAAACGUCAGGUCGAGGUGUAGCACACGAGAGGGGAAGAAAUGGGCUACAUUUCCUGACUACAGUAAACACGAAUGAUGCAUUGAAAACAUGCAACUGAAGGAGGAUUUAGCAGUAAGCGGGAAGUAGAGUGUCCCACUGAAACCAGCUCUUAAGCGCGCACACACCGCCCGUCACCCUCCCCAAGACAGUAAAACGCAAGUAACUAAACCCAAACACAACACCAAGGGGAGGAAAGUCGUAACAUGGUAAGCGUACCGGAAGGUGUGCUUGGCUAAAC